GACGUAGGGCGCGAGCGUGUCCGGAUUUAUUGGGCGUAAAGAGCUCGUAGGCGGCUUGUUGCGUCGACUGUGAAAACCCGCGGCUUAACUGCGGGCUUGCGGUUGAUACGGGCGGGCUAGAGUUCGGUAGGGGAGGACUGGAAUUCCUGGUGUAGCGGUGAAAUGCGCAGAUAUCAGGAAGAACACCCGUGGCGAAGGCGGCUCUCUGGGACGGUACUGACGCUGAGACGCGAAAGCGUGGGGAGCGAACAGGAUAG
rnacentral:rRNA from 1 species